rnacentral:lncRNA from 1 species
AGGAAAGUUUAAAAAUAAAAAGUAAACAGAAAGGAAACAACUUUGGUCAUAGUCAGAGAGUAGCAAGAAUGGAGGAAGUCCAGGAUAUUCGUUUCAUUCUGGUACCACUCAGGAACUACCAGCUGAACUCCUUUACACACCUGGACCACCCUUUGAAGACAGCAACUUUGAACCCCACUACAGUGAGAUAUAGGAUGAUUGCAAAGAUGGAAAGGCAACACAGAGCGAAGAUCCUUUGAUAAAAACAUCUCUUCUCAGAUGUGUCUUGUUUUCCUUCUGAGAGCCCUUCUUUCUCUUAACUAUCCUGCUUCAGCAUCUAUUAAAAUGUCUUAUUAAAC